rnacentral:tRNA from 1 species
GCCAGAGUGGCGGAAUUGGUAGACGCGCACGGUUUAGGACCGUGUGUCCAAAAGACGUGGGAGUUCAAGUCUCCCCCCUGGCA